GCUUGUGCCCUCGGAAGCCUGCAGCGCGGAUUAGCAGCAGACCUGUGCCCUUAGAGAAGAAGGAUAGCAGCGCGGUUGCACCAUGCUAUACAUGCCGUUCCUCUUCCUGUUCUCCCAACAGGGAAGCUGACUGUAGCCAUAAAGACACCCACAACAGGCAAACCGAGGAACCAGGCAGCAAACUGAGAUUCACCUAAGCUGAGCAGCAAGAUGACUACCAAUGCCAACUGGCUGUGGCAAGCACAGCUUGAGGAACAUUUCAGAACCUUUUACACCCUACCUGAACAGCAAAAGCCUGCACAGCAAUAUAAAGAUGAGAAUGAUCUGGGUACUAAUGUAAAACAUUAAUUCAGACUUAUAUUUGUAGGAAGAAUGAGACGCUGCAGACAAUGAGCCUUAACAGUAAUGGCACUACUUCGAAGGACCUGACCUGCUUUCAACUACAACAUGACCUCUCAGGCAAUCAACAGAUCCUGUGAAGAGCACAUAGCUUAAUCAUACCUGAACUUAUUUAUUUUAUGUCUUCUUCCUCUUUUCUUAAAAAGCAUUUUACAUCUCACUAAAAUCCUAAUUGUCCUACUGAAAGUUCACGCUUCUGAUGUUGCCUGUCUCGAGGAGAAAGCUUAUUCACAAAUAAACCUUGCAGGAUGGAAAAAUGACAAGGAAGAAAAUAUCAAGUCAGACAAGUAUGACUGGAAACUCAGAUGUAAAGAAUUCAAAUAUUUCAAAAGAUGUCUUGAUAGGUAUAUUCCCACCUCAUUCCAAGCAAAUAAGAUUAGCACAUAUUACUGAAAAUUUUAUGCCUCAGAAGAAGGCCCUAAUUAUAUUUCACACCGCUCUGAAGAUUCCUGUAAUAUACACACAUCUUUAAUGUGGAAUUUUAUACGCUAUUUAUAGCAUAUAGGCUCUUUUUGAUAUUAUUACUUUUCUAUGAAAGUUCCUUUGAAGUCAGGUAAUUACCUUAAGCGAAAUAUUUAGCCUGUUGUGAGAACUGAACUAUGAGAUUUGUGUAGAACAAAUAAGUCAUCAUGUAGCCCAGUAUAAAGGUUUCCGAGCCACUAGUGGGGAUAGAAACAUUAAUUAUGAAGACAAAGCCAAGAAUGUGUUUUAAAGGUCAUUUAAAGUGAGAGCUGAUAAAUCGGUAUAGUAGUACAUCUUGCUGCAUGCAUGCCCCUAAAAACUAUUUGAGCUAAGCACUGAAGAGUGUAAAAUUAUUGCAUUACCAGUUACAAUCCUUAGUAAAGCCACAGCUUUAGGUUACCAGAGACCUGGCCAGAGUCAGGCUGUAACUGUGAAGAGGUCGGGAGGAGUUACUAAAAUGGCUAAUAACAAUCUGCAGUAACUUCUCUCCAACCAGAAAUGUCACAUCAUUAAAGACUUGUAAAUCUGGAUUCUUCCCAUGCUAGAAGAAAGCGUGUCUCUUUCUCUGCAAAGCUAUGAAUCUUUUUAGUGGGAUAAAUGACGUAUAGCUACCAUAUAUCAGUAUACAAAGUUAUGUCAUUUUUAUAUUGCAUUCUGAUCUAGGACUGAACCAUGACCAUUUUGUGUCUGAUGGUAGCAUUUUCAAGAAAAGUCACUCGUAGUAAGAAGUCACCGGCAGAUCCACUCUUCACCUCCUCAGACACAGUUCCCUGAAAAUACCUAAAAGUACAGGAUGUUAAAACACAAUGCCAUAUGGAUCCGCAAUUUGUCACACAAGUGUUAUCCCUCAUACGCAAUGCAUAAUAUAACACAUGAACCCAAAACUUCGAGAUGUAACAGAGCCAUACAUACAUGUGUGCACACACGCACACACAAAAGGCGAGUCAGCCAAUGCAGGAUGGCAAAACUAAUUUAUUAUCGUUUUUCACAGAUGGAACAAAUUCACUUAGUUUACCGCAUCCAGACAGGUUUCCUCAACGGCAUGCAAUUCAAUAAUCUGAGAAUUGAAACUGCUGUUUCUAUUAUAUUUUUUGCCUAAG